rnacentral:ncRNA from 1 species
AUUGAGAGACAGGGGCGUUCGUCGAGAGAUGGACUGAGAAGCACCCUUUGAACCUGAACCAGAUAAUGCUGGCGGAGGGAGUUGCUCGGGACGAUUU